UGGGGAAUAUUGCACAAUGGGCGCAAGCCUGAUGCAGCCAUGCCGCGUGUGUGAAGAAGGCCUUCGGGUUGUAAAGCACUUUCAGCGAGGAGGAAGGUGGUGAGCUUAAUACGCUCAUCAAUUGACGUUACUCGCAGAAGAAGCACCGGCUAACUCCGUGCCAGCAGCCGCGGUAAUACGGAGGGUGCAAGCGUUAAUCGGAAUUACUGGGCGUAAAGCGCACGCAGGCGGUUUGUUAAGUCAGAUGUGAAAUCCCCGGGCUCAACUGGGAACUGCAUUUGAAACUGGCAAGCUAGAGUCUCGUAGAGGGGGGUAGAAUUCCAGGUGUAGCGGUGAAGUGCGUAGAGAUCUGGAGGAAUACCGGUGGCGAAGGCGGCCCCCUGGACGAAGACUGACGCUCAGGUGCGAAAGCGUGGGGAGCAAAACAGGAUUAGAUACCCUGGUAGUCCACGCUGUAAACGAUGUCGAUUUGGAGGUUGUGCCCUUGAGGCGUGGCUUCCGGAGCUAACGCGUUAAAUCGACCGCCUGGGGAGUACGGCCGCAAGGUUAAAACUCAAAGGAAUUGACGGGGUCAUAGCUGUUUCCUG
rnacentral:rRNA from 1 species